AGUGAACGCUGGCGGCAGGCCUAACACAUGCAAGUCGAGCGGCAGCGGGUCCUUCGGGAUGCCGGCGAGCGGCGGACGGGUGAGGAAUGCAUCGGAAUCUGCCCUGUCGUGGGGGAUAACCUAGGGAAACUUAGGCUAAUACCGCAUACGACCCACGGGUGAAAGCGGGGGAUCGCAAGACCUCGCGCGAUAGGAUGAGCCGAUGUCCGAUUAGCUAGUUGGCGGGGUAAAGGCCCACCAAGGCGACGAUCGGUAGCUGGUCUGAGAGGAUGAUCAGCCACACUGGGACUGAGACACGGCCCAGACUCCUACGGGAGGCAGCAGUGGGGAAUAUUGGGCAAUGGGCGCAAGCCUGAUCCAGCCAUGCCGCGUGGGCGAAGAAGGCCUUCGGGUUGUAAAGCCCUUUUGUCCGGGAAGAAAUCGUCUGGGCUAAUACCCCGGGCGGAUGACGGUACCGGAAGAAUAAGCACCGGCUAACUUCGUG
rnacentral:rRNA from 1 species